GACGAACGCUGGCGGCAUGCCUAAUACAUGCAAGUCGAGCGAACAGAUGAAGUGCUUGCACUUCUGACGUUGGCGGCGAACGGGUGAGUAACACGUAAGGAAUCUACCUAUAAGCGGGGGAUAACAUUCGGAAACGGGUGCUAAUACCGCAUAAUAUCUUCUUCCGCAUGGAAGAAGAUUGAAAGACGGCUCUGCUGUCACUUAUAGAUGACCUUGCGGUGCAUUAGUUAGUUAGUGGGGUAACGGCCUACCAAGACGAUGAUGCAUAGCCGACCUGAGAGGGUGAUCGGCCAAAUUGGGACUGAGGCACGGCCGAAAGUCCUACGGGAGGCAGCAGUAGGGAAUCUUCCGCAAUGGGCGAAAGCCUGACGGAGCAAUGCCGCGUGAGUGAAGAAGGCCUUCGGGUCGUAAAACUCUGUUAUAAGAGAAGAACAAAUUGUAGAGUAACUGCUACAGUCUUGACGGUAUCUUAUCAGAAAGCCACGGCUAACUACGUGCCAGCCGCCGCCGUAA
rnacentral:rRNA from 1 species